GAUGAACGCUGGCGGCGUGCCUAAUACAUGCAAGUCGAACGCUGAAGGAGGAGCUUGCUCUUCUGGAUGAGUUGCGAACGGGUGAGUAACGCGUAGGUAACCUGCCUGGUAGCGGGGGAUAACUAUUGGAAACGAUAGCUAAUACCGCAUGACAACAGUUAUUGCAUGAUAACUGUUUAAAAGGGGCAACUGCUCCACUACCACAUGGACCUGCGUUGUAUUAGCUAGUUGGUGAGGUAACGGCUCACCAAGGCGGCGAUACAUAGCCGACCUGGGAGGGGGAUAGGCCACCCUGGGACUGGGACACGGCCAAGACGCCUACGGGAGGCAGCAGUAGGGAAUCUUCGGCAACGGACGGAAGUCUGACCGAGCAACGCCGCGUGAGUGAAGAAGGUUUUCGGAUCGUAAAGCUCGGUUGUAAGAGAAGAACGAGUGUGAGAGUGGAAAGUUCACACUGUGACGGUAUCUAACCAGAAAGGGACGGCUAACUACGUG
rnacentral:rRNA from 1 species